AGUCACGCAUUAGUUAACAAUUGAUAGGAUGUUCCUCUGUUGCAGUUCUACAUAAAAUACAUCGUACUUUAAGCUCUAAUAAAACUUUACCAUCAAUUAUGUGCUUGUUACAGUAAAAUCAUCUGACCUUAUGUACCUUUUCCUGUUACCUGAGGCUAUACUGUGUCAUUAUUCACAAACUACAUAUUUGACAGGGCUUUACUGAUUGUUACAGCAGGACCAAUAGCUAAAUGAUCUCUCAGUGAUUUUGUUUUAAUCUCCUGUAGAGUCUUACCAGUUAUGAUGUGUGCAGUAUAUUUCUGGGAACGUCUACAUUAUUGGUGUGGGCCGGCGUGAUCAGGUACCUGGAAUACUUCCAGAAAUACAAUGUGUUAAUUCUGACCAUGACAGCAGCCUUCCCAAAGGUGCUGCGUUUCUGCUGCUGUGCCGGCAUGAUCUACCUGGGCUACACCUUCUGUGGGUGGAUCGUCCUGGGACCAUACCAUGAGAAGUUUGAGAGCCUGAAUC